AAAGAUACAUUCUGCUAUCACACUAUUACAAAGAUUAUAAGUGUGUGUGUGUGUGGGUAUAUAGAGAGAGAGCAGAUAAUCAUGAUAUAAAUAAGAUGAUAAAAAAAUCAGGAAAUGUAGAUUUUUACCAAAGGCACUACAAUAGCCGCCCAGAGAUACAAAUAUAAACAGAUUCUUCGCUACUAUGGUAAUUUGUCUAGGUUGGGGGGUGGGGGUGGGGGCAAAAACAAAAACAAAACAGAACAAAAACACAACCCAACCAAUCAAAACGGAAACAAACAAACAAGAAGCAAACCCACAAUAAACCCACCCAAACCUAUACUAGAGUAUGUGGCAAUAAUUAAUAUAUUUCUAUGGAAAAAACUCUCUCAUGCCUUAUAAGCUCCUAAAAUAAAAUCAAGGUCACUAUGUGACUAACGAGAACACUAGGAGGGGAAAAAAAACCACUGAAAGUAAAACAGUCCUCAGCCUCGGUUUCAGCUAGCUCAUCACAUCUGCGCGAAGUACGUAGCAUCAGACCGACAUUCCUGGCCUGGCAGACGAGCCAAUUGUGGUUUUCCACUGGCCACACCACACGCAGCUGAAGAAACAACUGCCUGACGGAGGAAAUGCUGUGACACGAAGCAUCCGAGUUCCAAGUCUGAGUAUUCAGUUAGGGUGAAGGGCGAACGUCUAACUGGGCAAAAGGAAAGGCGUCCAUCGUCCAAACAGGCUCACUUCCCCCAGCCCCCAAAACGAACAGUAGUUAUAGUAGCAAAAGAAACAACACAAGUCUCGAGUCUCUAGGGCCAACUAGGAUAGAGGUCAGCAAUAUAUCAACAGCAGCAACGGACAAGGAAGAGCGAGACAGUGGGUGAGAGAAUCUUGCUGGACGUCUGUUCAUCGUUCUCUGCGUCAGUCACAAGACUGCGACCGGCUGUGCCUGGCAAUUUCGGGCACAUCUCCUCAGAUCCUUCACAGAUUUGGAAUUCGGUCUACCUGAGGGCUCUAUAGCCAUGUGAGAAAGCUUUCUUUGUCGAGCUUGGUGGCGGCCAGCACGGACUCCAUGUCGUUGAGGAUGUCUGAGCUCAGGGCUUC
rnacentral:lncRNA from 1 species